AUUCUCAUAUUUAAACUCUUCUCUUGUGGGUAGGGUUGUCAAAAUGGGUCAAAAUUCAUCGGUCAACUCAACUCAAUUCAUGAACCCUAAUGAGUUGAAAAUAUUGACUCAAAUGAGUUGAUGGGUCAAAUGAGUUCUUGAAUCAAUUAGUUUGAUGAAUAAAAUGAGUUGAGUUGUAAUGGUUAAUAGUUUCAAUGGUUUAUCCAAUUAACCCAUCAAAUUUUGUAAAAUUGAAUUAAACCAACUAAAAUCUCUAAACCAAUACCAAUUUAAGUUUAACCAACACAUCUAAACUAAUUUAAUAAAAUCAAUAUUUUCCAAAUUUCUUAAAUAUACAAGCUAUGAAAUUGAAAAGAAGUAAACUCGUAAUUUUCCACCAAAAAACAUAAACCCGUAAUUUUCCCGCCAAAAAAGUAAACCCGUGAUUUUCCCGCCAAAAACGAAAAACUCGUGAUUUUCCCGCCAAAAAUGUAAACCCGUAAUUUUCCCGCCAAAAAACGUAAACCCCUAAUUUUCCCGCAAAAAAAGUAAACCCAUGAUUUUCCCGCCGAAAACGUAAACCCCUAAUUUUCCCGCUAAAAACAUAAACCCGUGAUUUUCUCGCCAAAAACGUAAAUCCGUAAUUUUCCCGCCAAAAAUGUUAACCCGUAAUUUACCGGCCAAAAAACUUAAACCCAUGAUUUUCCUGCUAAAAACGUAAACCCGUAAUUUUCCCGCCAAAAAAGUAAACCCGUGAUUUUUCCGACAAAAACGUAAAUCUGUAAUUUUUCUGCCAAAAACGUAAAUCCAUGAUUUUCCCGCCAAAAACGUAAACCCCGUAAAAAAUGGAAUCCGAAAAUAUCUUAAGUUUGAUGAUAAUAAAUUAAUAAUUAUUAAUAAUGAUAAUUAUUUAUUAUUGUUUUAUAAUAAUAAUUAAUUAAAUUAUUACGUGGGAUAAUCUAUUUAACAACUCAACUCAUCAAAUGAAAUGAGUUAUGGGUUGGGUCAACCCAUUUAAUCAUUUAACUCUAAACUGAUUUGAUAAUGAGUUGAGUUGAGUUGGGUUACCCAUUUCGACACUCCUACUUGUGGGCUUAGUGAAAUUUCGUAGAUGUAUAUGUAAGCCCGUUAAACAUU
rnacentral:sRNA from 1 species